GAUGAAGAACGCAGCGAAAUGCGAUAAGUAAUGUGAAUUGCAGAAUUCAGUGAAUCAUCGAAUCUUUGAACGCACAUUGCGCCCCCUGGUAUUCCGGGGGGCAUGCCUGUUCGAGCGUCAUUUCACCACUCAAGCCUCGCUUGGUAUUGGGCAACGCGGUCCGCCGCGUGCCUCAGAUCGACCGGCUGGGUCUUCUGUCCCCUAAGCGUUGUGGAAACUUUCGCUAAAGGGUGUUCGGGAGGCUACGCCGUAAAACAACCCCAUUUCUAAGGUUGACCUCGGAUCAGGUAGGGAUACCCGCUGAACUUAAGCAUAUCAAUAAGCGGAGGA
rnacentral:misc_RNA from 1 species